UACGAAGGGGGCUAGCGUUGCUCGGAAUCACUGGGCGUAAAGGGUGCGUAGGCGGGUCAUUAAGUCAGGGGUGAAAUCCUGGAGCUCAACUCCAGAACUGCCUUUGAUACUGAAGAUCUUGAGUUCGGGAGAGGUGAGUGGAACUGCGAGUGUAGAGGUGAAAUUCGUAGAUAUUCGCAAGAACACCAGUGGCGAAGGCGGCUCACUGGCCCGAUACUGACGCUGAGGCACGAAAGCGUGGGGAGCAAACAGG
rnacentral:rRNA from 1 species